AUGUGGGGGGCGGGGACAGGGGGGCAACCCCCCGCCCCCUUCCCCGGCCAACCUGGAGCCCCGCCCCGGCUCCGAGCGCGCUGCCCAGCGCCCAGCACACCCGGGCCCCGCGCGGCCGUCAUGUGCGCCCCACAGCCGGGCCGGCGGGAGGCCCCCAGGGGCGCUCAGUCCGGCCGUGCCGGCGCCUUCUCUUCCCCCUGGCUUCUUCUACCUCUCUCAUCCCAGAACCCGGCGGCUCCAGUCCUCGCCGCCGCCUCCCCUCCGCUAGCUCCCGUUGAAACGGCCCUAGGUGUAUACCCAGACAAGCAUGUGGACCUGAGUGCACUGUCCAGUAGCCAGAAGCAGCCUAAGCUGUCCCACAAGAUGUGGGCUCCCUCUGUACCGUGGAAUAGCAUUCAGCCAUGAAAAGGAGCCGAGUGCUGAAGAGCACUGCAUGGCAUUGUGCUCAAGAGGAAGAAACCAGACACAGAAGUCCACCUGUGUGCAGCAGGACAGUCCAGAGCCGCCGAACCAGGUCAGUGCCAGAGGCUGUGGGGAGGAAGAGGUGGGAAAUGACCCCCUCAGGGGGCUAGGACUCCCGUCUGGGAGGUGGGCAAAGGUUUUGCAGCCAGAUAGAAGUGGUGUUUGGUUGCAAAACAUUGUGAUGUACUGAAGAGCAUUGAAUUGCAUGCUUUAAAAUAGCUAACUGGGCCAGCGUUGUGGCACAGUGGGUUAAGCCACCACCUGCGACGCCAGCAUCCCAUAGGAGCGCCAGUGCUGGUCCCUGCUGCUCCACUUGCAAUAUUGUCCCUCCCCAUGUGCCUGGGAAAGCAGCAGGAAGAUGGCCCAAGUACUUGGGUCCCUGCCACCCAUGGGGGAGACCCCGACAGAGCUCCAGGCUCGUGGCCCAGCCCUUGCUCUCGUGGGCCUUGGGGGAAUGAACCAGUGGAUGGAAAGUCUGCUGUGCCCCUCUGCCUUUCAAAUAAAUAAUAUUUUUUAAAUUUAUUCA
rnacentral:lncRNA from 1 species